rnacentral:rRNA from 1 species
UACAGGGGGUGCAAACGUUGCUCGGAAUCAUUGGGCGUAAAGCGCACGUAGGCGGUUCGUUAUGUCGGAUGUGAAAGCCCUUGGCUUAACCGAGGAAGUGCAUCCGAAACUGGCGAGCUAGAGUACGAAAGAGGAUCGCGGAAUUCCCGGUGUAGAGGUGAAAUGCGUAGAUAUCGGGAGGAACACCUGUGGCGAAAGCGGACUCACUGGACCACAACUGACGCUGAGGCGCGAAAGCUAGGGGAGCAA